UUGUUAAAACUUUCAACAACGGAUCUCUUGGCUCUGGCAUCGAUGAAGAACGCAGCGAAAUGCGAUAAGUAAUGUGAAUUGCAGAAUUUAGUGAAUCAUCGAAUCUUUGAACGCACAUUGCGCCCCUUGGUAUUCCGAGGGGCAUGCCUGUUCGAGCGUC
rnacentral:rRNA from 1 species